GAUGCUUCCUGCUGCCCCCAUUCAAUGUUAUCUGUGUCGGGUAGAAUUACUUUUUGUGCAUGAUGUACGUUUCCACCUUAUUUCCAAAGAUCAUAAAGAAAGAGUGGCAGCAUAUAAUCCCCAAUAUACAAUUAAGCAGUAUUGAUUAGCAUGAUUAUUUUUGCUGUUGCUGUUGGAUAUUUUCUGGAUAUUGUAGAAUUACAUUAUAGAUUUUACAAUGUUUAACAUAAAGAAGAUGAAUCUGAAGAUACUAACGAAUUAUAUCCAGAAAUUUAAUCUGAUGAAUGUGUUACUUACUUUGAUAUAUUUUCAGUUGUGAUAAGCAUUAGUUUUUAAGUGUUUAGUUCACCAAGUUUGUAUUUCCAUUGUAUUUUAGUUACACUUGUUUUGCUUUUAGGUUAUUAAGUCUAAGUUUUGUUUCUUUGAAGGUACUCUUCAAAUAUAUUUUGUUACUUCUUAUUAAUAAAUAUUUGAAUUUGAUUAGUAAAUAU
rnacentral:lncRNA from 1 species